UCAUUCUUUAAUUUCCUUUUCCUCUCUUUGUACUCCCUGCCUCUUUCGCAACCCAACACAAAAUACCUUUUCCUUCGGUAAGAACCGUUAUCUGAUUUAGCAAUCACAAUAGUAAAUCCAACUUUUUUUGCCUCAUUGCGACACCAUUUAAUCAACUCAUCUCGCUCCUUGCAAUACGGUGCUUCAUAAAAAUAUUUUCUCGUGUCAACUUUAUGCUCAUUAUCACUGGGUUCCACAACAUCAUCGCCGGGUUCCACAACAUUAGGUUGAGCAAUGACAAGUUCCACAACAUUAGGUUGAACAAUGACAUGUUCGACAACAUUAACAGAGUCNNN
rnacentral:lncRNA from 1 species